ensembl:lncRNA
CUUCGCAGUCCCAGCCCCCGUGGAGGUCACCAGCCCAGGGGACCUCCCUGGCCUGGCCCCCUGGGGGUGGCAUGCGGGGACAGGGCCAGGGCCAGGCCUCCCCCCCAGGGCAGGACGGCCCCGCCUGGCGCUAUCUCAGGAGCCAGAUGCCCCCAGCUGACUCAGGCCCGGCCACGCCCAGCCCGGCGUCCCCCGCCCACCCUCGGGCCUCGCGGAUUCCGAGCUGCCAGAGCCGCUGCUCCUCCUGCACCGGGCGAGGGUAGAGGGAGGGCAUCAGCCCACGGGGCGCUGGGGAAGAGCAGCGGGGCUGUGCUUGGGAGGAAGGGGCUCAGCAGAGGUCCCCGCCCCAGCGGUCAGCGCGGGGCCUCCCAGCCCCUUCAGCAGGGGCCUCCAGCCUCUCCUCCUCCUGACUCUAGACUGGAGCCUGGUGCUGUCCUCAUCUUGUCCCCAGCCGGGAGGGUGCCUUUAACAAGAUGUCAAUAAUCUGAGGAAUCCACACGGCUGGUGAGCUGGGCCUGGAGCCCGGUUCGGGGCUGGUGCGGUGCUGGGACAGAGCUGAGUAACCCCCAACACAGCCGAGGUGACCCUGGAGCCGAGAGCCGGGUCCCUUCGCUGCCUCCCGCUGCUGCCCUUCCCGCCCGGCCUGGACCCUGAGCCUCUUCCUCCGGCUCCCACACGGGCUGCCGCUCCCUUCCUGGAGACUGGUCCCUAUCUCCCCGCUGCUGCUGCUGCUGCUGCUGCUCCUGCUCCCCACCCCCCCACGCUGCUCCUGAUAUCUCCGCCCUGCAGCUCCAGGUGCCUAUCUCCUGGGCCCGCUGGAGCCCCUGUGACUGAGGUGCUUCCGCCUCCCUGGCUGCCCACCCGCCUGGACCCACACCUGCUGGCCUCGGAAGCCAGUGGGGCCGACGUCCAUGCUCCGGGUCCCCUCGCCCUCUGCUCCCCUCCAUCCUUCUCCUCCCGAGUGCCAGCUGCACCCAGGGGCCACACAGGCUUGGAAGUCGCGACAGGAAGCUGUGCUGGGCAGCUGAGGCCAGAGCUGUCUGCACAACAGAGUAACGCAGUGGCCCAGGACAAGGUGACAGCAUGUCCUGCAGGACCUCAGGUGCCGUGACUGCGGGUGCAGGAGUCAGGCCACAGGCAGGAAGGGCUCACCGAGCUGUGGGAGUAGGCAGGGCUCACAGGUCCUGAAUGAAGCAGAAACAGCCGGGCAUGGUGGCACAUGCCUGUCAUCUCAACGCUUGGGAGGCUGAGGCAGGAGGUCGCUGUGAGUUCCAGGCCAGCCUGGGCUAUACAGCGAGAUCCUGUCUCAAAAAAACAAAAAAACAACAAAAAAGCAGACACAGAAGAACCAAGGGUGGACUGGCCGUUUUGAAGUCUCUCCUUUAAGGAGGGACAGGAGCUGCAGAAUAGAAGUGACCAGAGGGUAGGGCAGGUGCUGCAGGCUCUGUGAGCCUUAGUGGCCGAGGCGGCCGUGCUGAGUGGAAGUGGCUGCUCGGAGGGCGGGCUGUGCUUCUCAGUUUCCUGGAGGCCCGAGGAGUGGCCGCCCUCCAGCAGGCAACUGCAGCUCAGCCCCGACUUGCAGCGACCGGCCCAGCACCGGCCCCUGUUCUCAAUGACACCAGUGCCGUGCCAGAGCCCGAGGGAUAGGACAGUGUCCAGGGGUCCCUGCCAACACGUGCAAGCGAGGCGUGGGUUUUCGUCACAUGCUGGCUCGGCCGCUCCCGUCAAAGGGUUGACCCUUGAAGUCUGGGUGGUGUCAUCCAGCCGUUACAAGGCCUUAAGAACACAAAGGGCCCGGAUGGGAUGGCACAGGCCUGUUGUACCAGCACUCUGGGAGGCUGAGGCAGGAGGAUCCAGUUUGAGUCCAGCUCCAGCAACUUAGCUUCUUAGUAAGAUCUCAAAAUAAGAAAAGAAGAAAAAAAGAGGGCUGGACAUGGAGCUCGGGGCAAAGGCCCUGGGUUCAGUUCCCGGUGAAAAAAAAAGAACAAAAGAGGUUUCCCUGAUGAAGAAGAAAUUCUGCCGGCGAAUGGCAAUGUGGAUCCUGGGCAGAGGUUCCAGCUCUCCCUGCUCCAAGGCGCCUGGCCCAAGUGCGCUGAGGGUGAGGCCAGCCAGCAAAGUAGUCAGGCUCCCAAGACAAGCUCUUCUGCUCAUUUGUUUUCUGAGACAGGGUCUUGCUGUGUAGCCCAGGCUGGCCUCGAAUUCACAGGGAUCCUCCUGCCUCAGCCUCCCCCGAGCUGGGAUGACAGGUGUGCACCACCAUGCCUGGCAAAGCAAAAUCAAUUUAAAGACUAGUUGAAGAAAAAGAAAAACAACCCAGUUUCAAAAGUGGUCAAGGAGCUGAGGCAGGAGGAUCUCUGAGUUUGAGGCCAGCCUGGGCUACACAGCAGAUCCUGUCUCCAUAUAUAUAUAUGUGUGUGUGUGUGUUUACUUUUUGGUACCGGGGAUUGAACUCGGGUCCUUGCGCUUGCGCAGCAGGCAACGAAACCACUGAGCUAAAUCCCUGGUCCCUGUCUCCAUAAAUUAAUUAAUUAAUUAAUUAAGAAGCUGAGCUGACGUCCCCAGAGACACUCACAGGUGGCGCCUGGAGGCUGCCCACAGGGUCACCGGGCCGUGACCUCAGAGGCCAGGAGCCCCCAUGGUCUGAGGAGGCACUGCACACAGCAAACGUCAGCCCAGGGAGGGCAGCCACGCCCCCCGAGGGAAUGCACCGCCGCUGCACUGUGGGUCCUGCUCCACCUGGCCGGGAGGUGGGGAGGCGCAGAGGGAACAUUUCAGAAGCGGAUGGCAGCUGUGCUUGAACAGUGUCGGAAAUGUGAUCUGCACACUGGAAAAUGGUCAGGGUGAGCCGGGCGCGGUGGGCAGGCCUGUGGUCUAGUGUGGUGACUAAUGGUCACCUUGGAGCGUCCAGCUGAGCUGAGCCUGCAUGGCUGGGCGUGAAGACACACCUGAGGAUUGCUGCCAACAGCGUAAGAAGAGACCUGGAGGGCGAGAUCAGGGGCUGUAGAUGUAUUUACUUAUUUAUUUGGUACCUGGGAUCGAACUCCGGACCCUGUGUUUGCGAGGCAGGCAGCAGCACUACUGAGCUACAUCCCCAGCCCAGCUGUUGAUUUUCUAGGAGAAGCUUGCUGCGGCUGGUUUCCUGAUGUGAACUCCGCUGUUCUCGCCCGAGGAGGAGCUUGGGGGCUCACUGUCUCGGGGAAUGGCUGCUGGUCUUCACCGUGGGCGUCACUUCCUGCUCCAGUGCAGACCCCUCAGCCUCGUGCCACAGGUCCUUCCCCCACUGGAGCAGACUUUCCAGCUUCCACCACUGGCCUUGGGCCUUCCCGGGGCAGAGCCUCGAGACGGACAAGCAUGAGGCACUGCCGUGGGCUCUGGGCCUCUGGCUGGACUCAUCAAGGACACUGCUGUGGGGUCCAGGCCCUCAGCUGGAUUCCUUGGCUCUCUAGUGUGCAGCUAGAUCACUUGCACUCCUCUGAAGUUGACUUUUCAGGUGACUACUAUAAAAUCC